AACGAACGCUGGCGGCAUGCCUAACACAUGCAAGUCGAACGAGACCUUCGGGUCUAGUGGCGCACGGGUGCGUAACGCGUGGGAACCUGCCUUUAGGUUCGGAAUAACUCAGAGAAAUUUGAGCUAAUACCGGAUGAUGUCUUCGGACCAAAGAUUUAUCGCCUUUAGAUGGGCCCGCGUUGGAUUAGCUAGUUGGUGGGGUAAAGGCCUACCAAGGCGACGAUCCAUAGCUGGUCUGAGAGGAUGAUCAGCCACACUGGGACUGAGACACGGCCCAGACUCCUACGGGAGGCAGCAGUGGGGAAUAUUGGACAAUGGGCGAAAGCCUGAUCCAGCAAUGCCGCGUGAGUGAUGAAGGCCUUAGGGUUGUAAAGCUCUUUUACCCGAGAUGAUAAUGACAGGAUCGGGAGAAUAAGCUCCGGCUAACUCCG
rnacentral:rRNA from 1 species